rnacentral:rRNA from 1 species
UACGAAGGGGGCGAGCGUUGUUCGGAUUUACUGGGCGUAAAGGGCGCGCAGGCGGCGCAUUUUGUCAGGCGUGAAAGCCCCGGGCUUAACCUGGGAACUGCGUUUGAUACGGAUGGGCUAGAGUUCGGGAGAGGAGAGUGGAAUUCCCAGUGUAGAGGUGAAAUUCGUAGAUAUUGGGAGGAACACCGGUGGCGAAAGCGGCUCCCUGGUCCGAUACUGACGCUCAUGUGCGAAAGCGUGGGGAGCAAACAGG